GUGAUGAUGCUUCAGUAAACAACAUAUGGCGAGACGUGGCAAUUCUUGACCAACAAUGCGCUAUGGUGGUCAGGCAGUGUGUUUCCGUGUGUUAUGUCGCGCUGUAGGAGCAGUUCGUAGAUAGUGUCUCUGUUACCAGCUGUCCACAGAGUGCCAGAUAGACAGUAAUAACAGUGCCAGCUCAAGACAAACAACCAACAUUGCAAGAGGUAGAGACAAAGCAGAUGACACCAAGAGGAGCAUGUCAUCUUUAAAGUGUGGGGUUCACAAGCUCCAGCGAUAACAGAUGUGUGUGUCUGUCCUUACAAUUCUGAAAGUCCUGAAAGGUAUCUGAGGCUGGAACUCGAGCAGGGAGGGAUUCCAGCAACAUGGCCAGCAUGAAGCUAAAAUCCAUUUUCUUUACUGGACUUGAGCAAGGAAACCCAUCUGCGAAAAGAAAACUCUAAAAUAGUCAUUUGUGAAUUUACUGCCUGUACUCAAGUGAAAUAAAUAUAUUAUUUACA